GAAGCUGGCCAGACAGUCGCCGCUCACGCAAGUGAGGGGAGGAAAGUCCGGGCUCCGCAGAGCAGGAUGACGGCUAACGGCCGUACGCCGUGAGGCGAGGAAUAGGGCCACAGAGACGAGCGUAUUAAGUUACGGUGAAACGCGGUAACCUCCAUCCGGAGCAAGACCAAAUAGGCUGGUAUUGGCGUGGCUCGCGCUGCCAGCGGGUAGGUUGCUUGAGCGCAUGAGCAAUUGUGCGCCUAGAUGAAUGACUGUCGCUCGCCGUAAGGUGGGAACAGAACCCGGCUUAUCGGCCAGCUUCACUC
rnacentral:RNase_P_RNA from 1 species